UAGAGUCUGCAGUGUUUUAUAAAUAGCAACAUUCAUAUAGUUCUUUAUUUUAAUGACCUGUUUUUAGUCUUGAUAUGCAGUAUGUCUAAUAAUGUGUGUAUGUGUGUGUUGACUCUCCAGAAGAAGUGAUGUGUUGUUGGUUGGAAGCAGAGCUCUGGACGUGUGGACAGAUGUUGACUGUAAUGAUGGACAUCUGCUCAUGGACAGUGUGUGCAAAAGUAUAACCGCUGCGGGUCACAGUGCUGGAAGCUCCAGGGGGAGACCGUACUGAUAUCCCCCUUCUUCAGGCGCGCCUUCACACACACUCCUCCAUUCACUCGUAUCGCAGAGAUCUGGCUGGGAUCAAACCAGCAACCUCUGAACCGUGAGGCAGCGCUCUUACCUGCGAGCCACAGACUCUUGCUGGAGCACCCGAAGGAACUUAUAUUUGACUGUUUACCUGUGAUUUCCCAAUAAAGAAGUUAAAAGAA